rnacentral:lncRNA from 1 species
UAAAUUUGUAAGAAUACCUUUGAGUCUAUGAAAAGCAAUUCAAUUCCCAACAAUGAAUCCACCUUACAAAAAGUUUGUUGUUAUAAAAAAAUAUCAUUCAAGGUCAUUAAAGGUUUCUGGGACGGCAAGAGUUGAUGGUGAAACUAUUUUUUUGCUCGAGUGCUUUGAAAUUUUCCUUAAUAGUGUGAGGUUGAUGUGGAUGGAAUAAUAAAUUUUAUAGGGACUUUCUUGAUGUAACACUAUACAUUUUUUUUGUUUAAUGUGGUAUUUCUAUUUUUUAUAUAAUUUACUACCAUUUUAAGAUAGAAGUACAUUUUAAGAUAGAUGCUUAAAUCUUAAUAUACUUUUUUUCAUUUUUUAAAAUGUUUAUUUCUAUUUCUUAUAUUUUUAUUUACGUAAUAUCUAUAUUUUAUAUUUUAAAAUAGAUAUUUAAAUAUUAAUGUACUUUUUUCCAUUUUUUAAAUUGUGUAUUUACUUAUAUUUGCUUAAUGCUUUAUAAAUUGUGUAUUUUAAAAUAGAUAUUUAAAUAUUUUACAUUUUAAGAUAGAUGCUUAAUGCUUGAUGAACUUUUUCCAUUUUUUAAAAAAUUGUGUAUUUACUUAUUAUUACAUAUAUAAUUCAUAUAUUAUAUAUUUACAUUAUUUACUUAUUAUUUAUUUUCGUGUAUAUGUAUUUCCAUUUAUUGUACUUUCAUUUACUUAAUAUAUCUAUUUUACAUUUUAAGAUAGAUGUUUAAAUCUUAAUGUACGUUUUCCAUUUUUUUUAAAUUGUAUAUUUCCAUUUGUUAUACUUUCUAUUUACGUAAUAUCUAUAUUUUAAAUUUUAAUAUAUAUUUUUAAAUCUUAAUGUAAUUUCCCAUUUUUUAAAUUUGGUAUUUACUUAUAUUAUAUAUUUACCUAUUAUUUAUUUUUCUUAUAUUGUGUAUUUCUAUUUCUUAUACUUUCUAUUUACUAAUAAUUUUAUAUUUUAAGAUUGAUUUACAUUUUAAGAUAGAUGUUUAAAUACUAAUGUACUUUUUCUUAUACUUUCUAUUUACUUAAUAUCUAUAUUUUACAUUUUAAGAUAGAUGUUUAAUAUUUAAUGUACUCUUUCCAUUUUUUAAAAAUUGUGCAUUUACUUAUUAUUGUAUAUAUAAUUCGUAUAUUUAUAUAUUUAUAAUAUUUAAUUAUUAUUUAUUUUUCUAUAUAUUGAGUAUUUUGCUUUCUUAUACUUUAUAUUUAGUUAAUGUCUAUAUUUUAUAUUUUAAGAUAGAUGUUUAAAUCUUUACGUAUUUUUCUAUUUUUAAUGUAAAACGGCAAUGUUUAAUAGAAGAACUUGGACAAAUAGUGAAAUAGUUAUAUUAUGUUUUUUUUUAUAUAAAAUGGCAAGGUUACAUUAUGAAGAUAAACCGUUUUUUAGUGAACAAUGGUAAUCUUACAUAUGUUAAAUGUAAAUUUUCCAUUUUUUUAUGUUGUAUAUUUACAUAUUAUUUUUAUUUUUAAAUGUAAAAUGGCGUCUACAUAUGUUUAAUGUAGUAUUUCCAUUUUUAUGUUGUAUGUUUUACAUAUAUAUAUUAUUUUCGAAAUUAUAUAUAAUGUUUUUUAUAAAACGGUAAUGUUACAUUAUGGAGAUAAGCCAUCUUUUUUUUAAGUGAAAAAUAGUAAUCUUACAUAUGUUUAAUGUAGUUUUUCCAUUUUUUUAUGCUGUAUGUUUACAUAUUUUUUUACAAUUUUCGAAAAUAAGUAAUAUUAAAAUGUAAAACUAUAUUUUAUGCCACGUGUCAUCUUUCGGGAGGAAUUUUUUCCGCUGAUGUGGACGCCCUAUGGAGCCUCAAAAGCUCCCUUUUAUUAGUAGAGAUUACUUAUUUAUCAUUUGCGAAAAUUAGUAAUAUUAAAGUAUAAAACUAUAUUUUAUGCCACGUGUCAUCUUUUGGGAGAAGUUUUUUUUGCUGAUGUGGACGCUCUAUGGAGCCUCAAAAGGUCCCUUUUAUUAGUAAGGAUUUUUCUCAUAUUAAAAUGUAAAACUAUAUUUUAUGCCACGUGUCAUCUUUCGGGAGAAGUUUUUUUUGCUGAUGUGGAUGCUCUAUGGAGCCUCAAAAGGUCUCUUUUAUUAGUAAGGAUUUUAAACUGAGAUAAUAUAAUACUAUUGAUAAUCUAGCAUCUAAUACAAUUUAAAUAUUAAGAGUUUCAAAUAUUAAAUAGCUUAUUUGUGUCUGCUAUAGACUUUUGGUUUUAGAUUUUCAUUGUUGAUUUACCUGUAAAUUUUAAUAGUUUUAACUUAGAAAAAUAUUAUGUUUUGCAGAUUUUUAAAACUGUCAUUAAUGAACAAAAGUUAAGAAAACAAUUGUAAAUGUUCUUAAGAGUAUUUUUAGAACUUUACUAGGGAUUAACCCGGGCUACGCCCGAGAUUUUUAUUUUUUUUUAAUUUAAGUUGUUAAAUUAUUUAUAUUAAGGCUAUGAUUUAUAUUUAUAUAAAUGUUAAAAUACAUGUCAUAAUUAAAAUUUAUUUUUAAAUUUUAACACAUUAAAUUAACAUAUUUUUUACUAUUUAAAUAUUUUUUUGUAAUUUUAUUGGCUAUCUAGUUAUCAUAUUUAGCAAAACUAUCUUUUGAGUGUUGGAAUAAAUGUUUUAGAGAUUUUAUUAAAUUGCAGAGUAUUUUUGGAUCGACCACAUGCUCAACAUUCGAAUGAUCCGUAAAAAGAUGGUCGAUCUCCUUGGCCAGGUAAGUAUAAUUUUAGCAAAAAUAUCUUUUAUUUUCAAAUAUUAAGUAUAUAACUAUUCUUUUUAAUAUUUUUUAAUUGUAUUUUUGAUUAAAUUAUUGUAUUAUAAUGGUUAUGUAAAUAUUUUUUGUGAUGUUUGAAUUUUUGUUGUUCGUAUACUUAACCUAGAUGAUAUUGAUGUUUAACAAUUUAUUGUUUUCUGGAAAUAAAAAAUAAUGAUAUAUCAAAACGUAUCUAAAACUUGUUAAAUGAUAGUAUAAUGUAAAUUACAUCCAUUAUUUAAAAAUAAACAUUUGUUGUUUUUAUUUUUAUUUUAAAUCAGAAAUUAUUUUUAUUUAAAAAAUUAUUCAUAUAUAAUAUAAUAGUUAAGUUUUAAAGAUUAAUAUAUAUAUAUAAAUUAUGUAAUUUUUUAAAACAUAAUUUAAGAUAUUAUAUAUUGAGUAUCUGAAUAAAAGCUGAAUUUCUUAUCUUGAAAAUCAGAUAUUUAUAUUUUUGUCUUCAUGUUAUACUCACCAAUCCAUCAUUGAUAUGUAUAACUCAGUAUGUUUUUUUAAAAAACUUAGUUUUAAGUAAUAAACGAAUUUAAUAAAUUAAAUUCAUCACCUAUAAUGUUCUGUAAACUAUAUUUGAAAACUCUCUAAAAUUAUAUUUUAAGCAUAAUAUUAUUAUUAUUUAAUUUAAGUUAUUUUAAACAUAAUAUAUGCUAAACCAACUUAAAUUAUAUUUACAAUAGGACCAUCCUAAACCGGUUAGUAAACCAAAAACAAUACUAAACUAACAUGAACCAAUACCUGAUUCGGCGAGGAAGGAAGUGUUUCGGGAUAAACGCUUGAAUGGUUAUUAACUGAAAUGGUUUGAUCAUGAAAGAGUUAGUAUGAAUAUUAACAAUAAAAUUAUAGAUUAGAUUAAUUUAAAUUUGUAAGAAUACCUUUGAGUCUAUGAAAAGCAAUUCAAUUCCCAUGAAUAAGUUUGACUUUUGGAAGUUGCGGGUUUCCCAACAAUGAAUCCACCUAACAAAAAGUUUGCUGUUAUAAAAAAAUCUCAUUCAAGGUCAUUAAAGGUUUCUGAGACGGCAAGAGUUGAUAGUGAAACCAUUUUUUUGCUCGAGUGCUUUGAAAUUUUCCUUAAUAGUGUGAGGUUGAUGUGGAUGGAAUAAUGAGUUUUAUAGAGACUUUCUUGAUGUAAAACUAUACAUUUUUUUUUGUUUAAUGUGGUAUUUUCAUUUUUAUAUAAUUUACUACCAUUUUAAGAUAGAAGUACAUUUAAAGAUAGAUGCUUAAAUCUUAAUGUACUUUUUCCAUUUUUUUUAAUGUUUAUUUCCAUUUCUUAUAUUUUUAUUUACGUAAUAUCUAUAUUUUAUAUUUUUAAAUAUAUAUUUAAAUAUUAAUGUUUUC